AUGAGUAUAGCUCCUCAAAAGGCAGUGAUAGCUGACACCGGAGAAAUUGUAGAAGCCAACAGUGUCCUGGUGGACACAAUCAUCGCUGUUAAGACUGGAGAAGUCAUACCUAUUGAUGGAAUUGUAGUAGAAGGAAAAUGUGAGGUCGAUGAGAAGAGCUUAACAGGAGAGUCAUUUCCAGUGGCCAAACAAAAGGACUCCACUGUUUGGGCUGGCACCAUAAAUCUAAAUGGUAGCAGCUCUCUAUAUCUCCAUUAAUACAAGGAACAAGGAAAAGAGUCGUUUUUCUGAUAAUAAGCAUCUUUCAUUUGAGCAAUUUCAGGUUACAUCAGUGUAAAAACUACAGCCCUAGCUGAGGACUGUGUGGUGGCCAAGAUGGCAAAGCUAGUAGAAGAAGCUCAAAACAGCAAGUCCAAAACUCAGAGGUUCAUAGACAAAUGUACCAAGUUUUACACCCCAGGUCAGUACAUUUCUUUAUAAUCAUAAUUCGUGGGCUCAUUUCCCAAAUAGUGUUCAGAGUAAUUAACAGCAAAACAUGAUGCCUAAAUUUGUGUUCACUCCUUCACCCAAAAUGUAAGCAAGGACAUUAGCUGGUGGUGUAAAUUGUAACUGGGUAAGAUUUUGGAAUAACCUGUAGAUUAACAGUAUCUUUACAUUGGUUUCUCCAGUGGUAGUGCUAAUAUCGGCUGGGCUUGCGGGGAUUCCUGCUGCCUUAAGGGUUCAUGAUCUAAGUCAUUGGUUUCACCUAUCACUGGUUGUACUAGUAAGUGCAUGUCCAUGUGCACUGAUUCUCUCAACGCCAGUUGCUACAUUCUGUGCACUUUCAAAGGCUGCUGUAUCUGGGUUGCUCAUCAAAGGAGGAGAGUAUCUUGAAAUUCUUGCUAAAAUCAGGAUCAUGGCUUUUGACAAAACCGGUACAAUUACAAGGGGUGAAUUUGUUGUUAAGGAUUUCCAGUCUCUGCGGGAUGAUGUUAGCUCCGAUACAUUGCUCUACUGGUAAGGACUCCUCCUGAGAGAAUUUCAUGAAAGUUUGCAGUUACUUGGAAACUAAGACUAGAUGGCAAAAUUUUGAAGGGUUUCUAGCAUUGAGAGUAAGUCGAGUCAUCCGAUGGCAGCAGCUCUUUUUGAUUAUGGACUGUCACAAUCCGUCGAGCCAAAGCCAGAAAAUGUGGAAGAGUUUCAGAAUUUUCCCGGGGAAGGAAUCCAUGGGAAAAUUGAUGGGAAAGACAUCUAUGUUGGAAACAGAAAAAUCGCUCUAAGAGCUGGGUGUGAAACAGGUGAAUGGUUUCACAUUACACAAUGGAAAUGUGCAUCUUUUAUGCUGGUUUUCAUUCCUAGGCAAUAUUUGAAAUAAUUUUGUGUUUAAAUUUUCAGUUCCAACCAUAGGAGAAGACAAGGAAGGAAAGACAAUUGGGUAUGUAUACUCUGAUGCAACUCCAACUGGAAUUUUUACCCUCUCCGACGCUUGUCGAACAGGGGUUGUGGAGGCUAUUAAAGAGCUGAAGUUAUUGGGAAUUAAAUCUGCCAUGCUUACAGGAGAUAGUCAUGCAUCAGCUAUGCAUACACAAGAUCAGGUGCACCUUGCACUGUUGAAUUUAUAUAAUUUGAUUAUCAUGUGUAAAAAAUCAUCAAAAUAUGACUGUAAAAUCCUAAAGUAAUAAGCUAACAAGGCAGCAAAAAAUAUCUCAUGUGCAGCUAGGGCAUACUCUAGAGGUUGUUCAUGCAGAACUUUUACCUGAAGAUAAGGCGAGAAUCAUAAAAGACUUUAAGGAGGAAGGACCAACAGCCAUGAUUGGUGAUGGUGUAAAUGAUGCCCCUGCAUUGGCCACAGCAGAUAUUGGUAUCUCAAUGGGCAUUGCGGGUUCAGCACUUGCGACAGAGACAGGGCAUGUGGUUCUUAUGACAAAUGAUAUUAGAAAAAUACCCAAAGCUGUUCGGUUAGCAAGGAAAACCCACAGAAAAGUAGUUGAGAAUGUCAUUUUAUCAAUCACUACAAAGGCUGCCAUCCUUGCCUUGGCCAUUGCAGGUCACCCG
rnacentral:lncRNA from 1 species